GUAGUAUAUGGUGUUGUACCUAUUUUAAUAUAAAUUUUCUGUUCGCUCUUAGGCCCAUGAAUAGUAUAGAGUAUCACUUGAAAACAGCAAUAUUACAGAGAAGAUUCAUGCAAGUUAUAUUUAUAUAUAAUUGGAGAAAGGAAGGAGUAGAAGAUUAAGGGUUAGAGUGUGGUUGUUUACUUUCCGUUUUAUUUACGGUGUACUUGUCGACUGAAAUAGCAGCUGCAAGCUUUCUGGUGAUCUUCUGAUCAAUGGUGGGUCUGUAUAACGUUUGUGUGCGGGUGUUGUCGUUUCCAUUUCGUAUAUGUUUGAAUAGUAGUGUCAGAGUAUACUAACAAGAGUAGGCCAACUCGCAUUAUCCAUUGUUUGCCGUAACGGUAUGUGAAUCUAGUCAAGUGGUUUCGUUGCCAAGUACGCUAAAUUGAAAAUUAGAGUAAACAGACAUUUGUGCACGUUACAUUUUUGUUUACAUUGAAGUUUCUUCAUAAAUAUGCCUGCGUCAAAUUGUGCCGUUUCCGGUUGUACUUGGAAUUACAACAAGAAAACAAAUGAAGACAUAAUUAGUUUAUUUUCUGUUUUACGACCAGAGUUCGGCAAGUCGCCAGAGGAAGUGCAACAUCGGCAGAAGCUGACUAAUUUAUUCUAUCCACGAGAGAUGGGUCUUUGGACAACAUCAAACAUCUUUUGCAUAAAGAAGCGUAUGUAUACUGUUUGAUCUUUUUAUAAUAUAUCAAUAAUUGUUCUGCACAUCAUAAUAGAUUACAGCCUAUAGGCUAUAUACCACUAUUGUAAUCUCUUUUUUUGAAAAUGUGUGGUAUGUUUAAAGUAACUUUUAUGUUCUUUAACCAGUGUUGGGAUAUGCGCUAGACAUUUUAAAGAGGAUAUAGAAUGGAAAGAAAGUACAAAUUGAAAACAGGUGCAGUUCCAUGUAAAAAUCUUCCAAAAGAAUGUAGUUUUAGUCGGCUAGCAGUCAAGUCAUCUAGAACAGAUAAAGCUUUAACCAGGAAGUUCACUCCACUGAUAAGGCAUAAAAAUCUAGAUCAAUUGUUAAAUGCCUAUAACAAGCUGACAUUGGAAAUGAAAGGUAAAAUUAAAUCAAACGUUAUGUAUGUGUGAGAUUCUAAAUAAUUAUACUUCCAGAUAAAUGGAUUUUAUACAGACAUUCCAGUUACCUGUACAUUGAAUCCAUGAAGGAACAUAAGGUUGUUUUAAGAAUAAGGUUUGUUUAAAAGUAAACAAAACAUGAAUGCAGAAUUAGCAUCUAACAUCUAAUUUUGUCUUUAGAAUUAGGAUAAAUAAAGACCUUUCCUAUUCUUUCAUAUCUGUGUUUGGGUGGCCGAUUAAUGUGAAACAUUUACCCGAUGCUCCUAGCCCAAAGGAAGACAAUUAUACUACUUGUUAAAAUAUAUGGAAAACAUUACAGCAUGUAAGAGUAUAGAUUCAGGCAAAUCCAACAAGAAACACCAUAUUCUACAUUGGACUGGUAAUAAAAUGAGCAGUGAAACAACCAUACAACGUUCACCCCAAUGUCAAGUAUUUGGUUAGUAAACUGAGUGAUAACACCUAUUCUACGUUUGAUUGUUUCUAUGUGUGUAUAAUUAAAAAUAGUGUAGGUUAUUUUCUUUCCAAACUACUGCCAAUUUUCAGUAAUUAGCUCUAGUGAAGAGGAUGAAUCUACAUAUGUGUUGUAAGUGUGUAUCAUUCACCUAAUCAAUGAACAAAGAUGUUUAUGAAACAAUUGGUGUAAACGAUAAAGUUGGUAACAUAUUGGAGGCAAGCAGCUAAUAUAAUAAAGUGUGAAUAUUAAAAUCAAAUGACAUGUUGUUUCCCAGAAAAUAUAUUCGAGUGAGGUGGACACUCUGCCGGAAUGGAAGCGGAUGUUUGUGAAAUAUCAAUUAGCGAAUGCUAAAAAACCCACAUGGUCGAAGAUACCACCCGGAUGUUGUGCGGUGGGCUAUUGAAAUGUACAGCAAAUCGCCUCGGCAUAUGAACAACUUCGUUUAAGUGGUGCAUUAGGUUUACCUGGAAAGAGUACAAUAAAGCAGUAUGGAAUUAUACAGAUUCGAAUGCUGGAACUCAUCAGGAAGCAUUGAAAGAAAUUGAAAGGAUCACACAAAAUUGUAAAAACUUUCCUGGGUAUUUAACCAUGGAUGAAAUGAAAAAAGAAUUAUACAGAUACGAAUGCUGGAACUCCUCAGGAAGCAUUGAAAGGAUCACACAAAAUUGUAAAAACUUUCCUGGGUAUUUAACCAUGGAUGAAAUGAAAAGUAUGGAUUUGCAUUUUUUAUUUUUUUACUAGCUUAUAUGACUAAGGUUUAUUUAAAUUUAGAAUGUCCCACAGUUCGUGAAAAUCUGGUGCUUCGUGAUGGAAAGCUGGUCGGGUUCGUUGACUUUGGUGAGAGUACAAUUGAUGCUUCACAAGAAAUUGCGACACAUAUUUUAGUAUUCUAUCUUUGCACCAUUUGAAGAGAGAUAUCACUUCCAAUAGCUUGGUAUCCGACAAAGACCACUUCAGCAGAAACACUCACUAUAAUUUUUUUGAAUUUGCUUUUUGAGUGUGAAAAGAGGGUGUAAAUAUCCAUGCCCAACAGGAAAAUGUAUAAAAUCCUGAGUGGCAUUAGAACUUUUAGUCUGAAUAAAUGCCUGACAGUUCCCAAUCCGUGUGCACCGGGAAGGCCUGUAUUUCUGCUGUCUGAUCCAUCACAUUUGUUGAAGACUGCACGGAAUGCUCUUUACUCUUCUAAGCCUACUGGAAGCUUGUAUAGGUGCAAAGGGGAAACGAUAUUCUUUGGCCCCUGUUCUAAAAAGAACACCAUUAUCUGAAGAGCAUGUUAACUUAAAUGCUUUUAGCAAAAUGAAAGUUGAUUUGGCAAGAGACACACUCUGAUGGAAAGUGGGGAAAUGUUUCCACAAUAAAAGGUGCCAAAGGAAAUGCUGACUAUGUUUUAUUAUUUUCAAAAUGGUUCGACAUAGUGAACUGUAGAUUUAAUCAUCCGAUCAAGAUCAAUAAAUGAUGAUCAAAUGAUUUGGCUGAAACAGCUUUUUAUAUUGUCUACCUACUUGAGUGGCAGAAUGAAGCAACUGAGAAGAAAAAAGUUAUGUCCCAACAAACUCUUGAAAGACUUAUAUUCACCGCACGAAACUUCAUGAGCCUUUGUGAGCGUCUGUUAGUCAGUUUAGAUUAUGUUUGCCUUGGAAGCUUUACUCAGGAUGUAUUAGAGAAGUUUUUUUUGGAAACUUGAGACAACUUGGGAGACGAUCUCAAAAUCCGGAUGACAGUGAAGCUGCAUAUGGUGUACAGCACAUUUGGCAGCGGAAAAUUAUAAAAAAAAAGUUAAAGGGGGUAACACAACAAAUGGAUUUAAAAAUCCCUGGCAGAACUUGUACAAUGAACCUCUUCCCAAGAAAAAGAGACCAUGAUGUUGAUAAUGGGAAUCAGUGAUCCACGAGAAACCUUACAUGAUAUUAUAUGCACUAAUUCCUUUCUAAAUCUGCUGCCAGAU